rnacentral:ncRNA from 1 species
ACAAAGGCUCUUUUAAGAGCCACCCACAAUCUCCACAAAGAGCUC